rnacentral:rRNA from 1 species
GAUGAACGCUGGCGGCGUGCCUAAUACAUGCAAGUCGAGCGAACGGACGAGAAGCUUGCUUCUCUGAUGUUAGCGGCGGACGGGUGAGUAACACGUGGAUAACCUACCUAUAAGACUGGGAUAACUUCGGGAAACCGGAGCUAAUACCGGAUAAUAUUUUGAACCGCAUGGUUCAAAAGUUAAAGACGGUCUUGCUGUCACUUAUAGAUGGAUCCGCGCUGCAUUAGCUAGUUGGUAAGGUAACGGCUUACCAAGGCAACGAUGCAUAGCCGACCUGAGAGGGUGAUCGGCCACACUGGAACUGAGACACGGUCCAGACUCCUACGGGAGGCAGCAGUAGGGAAUCUUCCGCAAUGGGCGAAAGCCUGACGGAGCAACGCCGCGUGAGUGAUGAAGGUCUUCGGAUCGUAAAACUCUGUUAUUAGGGAAGAACAUAUGUGUAAGUAACUGUGCACAUCUUGACGGUACCUAAUCAGAAAGCCACGGCUAACUACGUG